rnacentral:rRNA from 1 species
ACUGCUUUUGUACGGAACGAAAAGGUCUGCCCUAAUACGGCGGGCCCAUGACGGUACCGUAAGAAUAAGCACCGGCUAACUACGUGCCAGCAGCCGCGGUAAUACGUAGGGUGCGAGCGUUAAUCGGAAUUACUGGGCGUAAAGCGUGCGCAGGCGGUGAUGCAAGACAGUUGUGAAAUCCCCGGGCUCAACCUGGGAAUUGCAUCUGUGACUGCAUCGCUAGAGUACGGUAGAGGGGGAUGGAAUUCCGCGUGUAGCAGUGAAAUGCGUAGAUAUGCGGAGGAACACCGAUGGCGAAGGCAAUCCCCUGGACCUGUACUGACGCUCAUGCACGAAAGCGUGGGGAGCAAACAGGAUUAGAUACCCUGGUAGUCCACGCCCUAAACGAUGUCAACUGGUUGUUGGGUGCAUUAGUACUCAGUAACGAAGCUAACGCGUGAAGUUGACCGCCUGGGGAGUACGGCCGCAAGGUUGAAACUCAAAUGAAUUGACGG